CACGUAGGGGGCGAGCGUUGUCCGGAUUUAUUGGGCGUAAAGAGCUCGUAGGCGGCUUGUCACGUCGGGUGUGAAAGCCCGGGGCUUAACCCCGGGUCUGCAUUCGAUACGGGCAGGCGUAGAGUGUGGUAGGGGGAGACUGGGAAUUCCGUGGUGUGCGGUGAAAUGCGCAGAGUAUCAGGAGGAACACCGGUGGCGAAGGCGGGUCUCUGGGCCGGAUACUGACGCUGAGGAGCGAAAGCGUGGGGGAGCGAACAGGG
rnacentral:rRNA from 1 species